rnacentral:rRNA from 1 species
ACGGAAGGCAGCAGUGGGGGAUAUUGCACAAUGGGGGAAGCCCUGAUGCAGCAACGCCGCGUGAGGGAAGAAGGUUUUCGGAUUGUAAACCUCUGUCCUAAGUGAAGAAACAAAUGACGGUAGCUUAGGAGGAAGCUCCGGCUAACUACGUGCCAGCAGCCGCGGUAAUACGUAGGGAGCGAGCGUUAUCCGGAUUUACUGGGUGUAAAGGGUGCGUAGGCGGCUAAACAAGUCAGGCGUGAAAUGCAAAGGCUUAACCUUUGAGCUGCGCUUGAAACUGUAUAGCUUGAGUGAAGUAGAGGCAAGCGGAAUUCCUGGUGUAGCGGUGAAAUGCGUAGAGAUCAGGAGGAACACCGGUGGUGAAGGCGGCUUGCUGGGCUUUAACUGACGCUGAGGCACGAAAGCAUGGGGAGCAAACAGGAUUAGAUACCCUGGUA